GAUGAACGCUGGCGGCGUGCCUAAUACAUGCAAGUCGAGCGAACAGAUGAGGAGCUUGCUCCUCUGACGUUAGCGGCGGACGGGUGAGUAACACGUGGAUAACCUACCUAUAAGACUGGGAUAACUUCGGGAAACCGGAGCUAAUACCGGAUAAUAUAUUGAACCGCAUGGUUCAAUAGUGAAAGACGGUUUUGCUGUCACUUAUAGAUGGAUCUGCGCCGCAUUAGCUAGUUGGUAAGGUAACGGCUUACCAAGGCAACGAUGCGUAGCCGACCUGAGAGGGUGAUCGGCCACAAUGGAACUGAGACGCGGUCCAGACUCCUACGGGAGGCAGCAGUAGGGAAUCUUCCGCAAUGGGCGAAAGCCUGACGGAGCAACGCCGCGUGAGUGAUGAAGGUCUUCGGAUCGUAAAACUCUGUUAUUAGGGAAGAACAAAUGUGUAAGUAACUAUGCACGUCUUGACGGUACCUAAUCAGAAAGCCACGGCUAACUACGUG
rnacentral:rRNA from 1 species